CCACCGUCUGUCAGGAAUUCCACACGUGACUCUCCGGAGAGUUCUUCCCUGUCUCCUCUUCUCCCCUUCUUACACUCCCCUCUCUGGAUUAUUCUCGUGGCAGGCAAUCUUCUUAGCGUCAAGUCGCCAAUCGGAGAGCGCAUGAAUCUUCGGUGAUUGGUGCCGGGUGAAACAUGACGGCGGGGUACGAGAAUGUGGUGGUGGGGAAACUGAAGCUGAAGGGGAAGCCCCUCGACGUGAAGGGCGGUGGUGGGGUUAUUGGUGGCGGUGUUUCCAAAAAGAAGAAGAAGAAGCCAAAGGAUCAUCACCUCCUCUCUCAAUCCUUCACAGGGAUCUUGACAGAGAUUAGCUGUUGACCUGUGGGAGUUGGAGAGAUGAUUUUAGGUAAUGAUAAGGGCACCCAAUUGCAUAUCGAGAUGCACCUUACAAUUCUCGAAACCUUAUGAUAGCGGCUGUGGAUUUAGCAUAGUUAAAGACCAUGUUUGGCUGACAGGUGGAACCGGAUUGGUAUCGUCGGGCAACAAUGCAAAUGUGAACGAGACAGAAACCGAUGGUGGAAGAGUGAGUCAUUCCACAUUUGAAGAUCGCCUCACGCCCGCUGAGAGGCGAUUCCUCCAGCAGAGGGAGAAGAUUGAGCUGGAGAGGCUCGCAAGGAUGGCGAACAAGUCUCACCGCGACCGGAUCCAGGAGUUCAACCAGUAUCUGGCGAACCUCAGCGAGCACUACGACAUCCCUAAAGUGGGGCCCGGUUAACUUAUGGAUCGUGUCCGGAAAAUUGUGCCGGUCAUCUUGUUUACGAUGAUUCCAAUUCUUUGUUCCAUUGUUUCUGAAUGUUUGUGUCGGACAAUGUCAUCGGAAUAUCUUGAAUGCAUAUUGAUGGUGCUUUGCAAUCUUACUGUACCAUUUGGGAUCCUAGAAUGAUUAACUGAUUGGUUCUUGCCAUCGAACUUCAGAACUGUGACUCUGAGAAUUUUUUUUAAGAAUGCUUUUUAAGUAUUUUAUUAUUUUUACUGAGAUCGAAUGAUGAUUUUGCCCUUAAAAAAUAUCAAUCGUGGGCAAAUUACCUAAUUUCAGGAUGCAAAUAUUUCUUCUUUUACCUAUAGAAAAAAAGUACGCAAAUAUUUGUUACCCCAAAAGGUGAGAGGGCGGAUUGCUUUUUACUUGUUUGUUGUUCAUUCAUUAACUGAUUCUCACCUUUGCCCUAAUCUCUAGUUGUGUUGUUGCUUGAAGAAAAAUAUAUUGAUUUGAAAUAAGUAAAAAUAUUUUAGAAGUAACAAUUUGAAACUGCAAAAAUUAAAUUUAAUACCUGAACUAGAGAAUAAUCAGAAUGAAGCAAUUACGCAGCUGCUAUCACGCUCACAAAUGAAGCCAGUGCUCCUUCUCCUAGUCGACCUGCCAUUCGCAGGUCGUGCGAUACCUUCACCGACAAGGAUCUUCAAAUAUCUUCAAGGUGAAACGUUUUUAUGUUCAUCUUUGUUUGCUUUGCCUGAUUCUGAAAUUGAGUAGGUGUUCUUGAGGUUUGAUCUAUCUAUUUAGGGGAUCUUGUUUUUGUGUUCUUCGGUUUGGUAUUCCCUGACAAUGAAAUCUGUUGCUGUCUUAUUAAUUGGUUUGCAUAGACAAACCUGUAUGUAUGAUGGCGUAGGUCUGAUUUUUCAUUCAUAAUUGGUUUGAAGCCGUUCUUUGAUUGUUUUGCUGCUUAAUCGAUUGCACGCGUAAUCGGCUAUUAGGGAUGGAGAAAGGAUCCUCAUCUGUGUGGAAUUAUUACUUGUUUCGAUCGCAUCGCCUUCUCGGUAGCUAGCUGAUUAGUUGAAGGGAAGCCUGUGUGACCUCAGAGUUCUAAUUCAGCGGUGAGUGUAGUUUUUAGCGUGCUUGAUCACUGUUUGACAAAAUGUUAAUUAACAGAUGAUGCAUAAGAAGAAAAAGAUCUUUUCUACAGCUAUGUACGUCCCGGUGUCUACAGCAUCAGUGCCAUAGAGGUCCCGACCCAAAGCCGAUGCAAUGCUUCUGAGGAUGUUACUGAAAUUGAGCUGGUCCCGGCGCUCGAGCUCCUCGUGGACAUGGCGGUUCAAUGGGUGAUGAUGAGUUUCCUUAUGGCAUGGCCUUUGGACAGCUGGGCAACCGGCUGUAUAUGAUCGGCAGUGAGUAUUUGACAAGGCCUUUCGACAGCGAGCCUCAAGUGUCCUCUGAUGUUUUUGUUCUCGACCCUUCUUUCCUUAAGUCGUGGGCCUAUUCCACUCGGAGGGUCACCAGAAAGUCCUUACUCGCCUGGUCCAACGCUCAACGAACCCAAGGGUUGGCCGUCCGUGAUUGCAUGUGCUGAUAAACUCUACGUGCUGCCCUAUACCUUCUAUCCUUUAUCAGCUCCAUAUUCGGGUUCAGUAGUUAAAGUCCUCGAUCCACUUUACAAUUCCUGGACCGAUUUCUAGCGCUGCCCCUUGGUCGUGGCUCUAGUUAUCCCACCCCAUGACUACAAGCUGCAAUCCUCCGCAGCAAUUGGAACAAAGAUAUAUAUAUCUUGCUUGGUCUCGGAAUAUAUGAGCUGGAUACGCUUUAUCCCGACCUUGGCUGGAGGUUUUUUCAUGUACUCGGUGGAGUCGAUAGAUUUCCUCGCCACGAAGCUUCUAUCUUCAUCGACGACCUGUGGAUCAUGCCACGUGGGUUUUGCGGCUCUCUAGUCGCCUACGAUAUUCGACGCGAGAGCGGGUUGGCCGAAGCGGUCGAGGUGAAGGGUACUAGAAUGCUACCAGCCAAGUCCGAUUAACCCCAGAUAGAAUUCGAUUCCACCUAGUCUCGAGUGAUUUUGCUGAAGCAUGUGCUGCAGCUGAGCUGGUAUGAUGUUCCGUUCAUACCAAACGUGGUCCGACAUUCUGCUGAAAUGCUCUGUUUUCGCACCAUGGAAGUGUAUUUUCUGAUGGAAUCCUGUUCUCUUUACACCGUUGAGUUGAUGAUCCUCGGUAAUGAAAACAAUCCUGUGAUUGCAGCUCGGGUGAUUGUUGUGGUAUGAACGUGAAUUGUCUCUGAAUUUGAAUAUGCCCCGGGAGCUUUUUGUGAUUUCAGUUCCUACUGGUCACAGUUAAUACCAUUCUGCAGCUUAUAUUUCUUUGGAAUUCCAUCAGCUCUGGUGAUCGAGUUAUUUACAAACGGAGGUUUUUUGGUAUUUAGGAGGCUGACAGGUGGAACCGCAUUUCAACUAUAGAAAUGUGAUAGAGAUGGACACCGAUGGUCGAAGAGUGAAUGCUUCCACAUUCGAUGAUCGCCUCAUGCCAGCUGAGAAGGGGGUCCCUCCAGCUGAGGGAGAAGAUUGAGCUGGAGAGGCUUGCGAAGAUGGCGAGCAACUGCAAGUCCAAGUCCCCCACGACUGGAUCCAGGAGUUCAACCAGAACCUGGCGAACCUCAGCAAGCACGACGUCCCCAAAGUGGAGCCUAGUUAACUUCACCGAUUGUAUCCGGAGAUUUGCGCCAGUCAUCCUGUUUUACGAUGAUUCCUAUUCUUUGUUCCAUUGUUUUCCAGAUAUUUGUUUCGGAGAAUGUUGUCGGAAUAACAGUGUCAUUGGCAUUUUUAAGCUCCCAAGAAUACGAUUAAC